UACGUAGGGUGCGAGCGUUGUCCGGAAUUAUUGGGCGUAAAGAGCUUGUAGGUGGUUUGUCGCGUCUGCUGUGAAAAUCCGAGGCUCAACCUCGGACUUGCAGUGGGUACGGGCAGACUAGAGUGUGGUAGGGGAGACUGGAAUUCCUGGUGUAGCGGUGGAAUGCGCAGAUAUCAGGAGGAACACCGAUGGCGAAGGCAGGUCUCUGGGCCAUUACUGACACUGGAGAAGCGAAAGCCAUGGGGGAGCGAACAGG
rnacentral:rRNA from 1 species